GCAGACACAUUCCAGCCAAUCAGCAGCAGACCCUCCCUCCCAGACCCUCCCACCUCCUGGACAGCAUCCAUUUUACAUUUAUUGUGAAGCUGCAUUCUUAGUGAGCUGUCCAGGAGGUGGGAGGGUCUGGGAGGGAGGGUCUGCUGCUGAUUGGCUGGAAUGUGUCUG
rnacentral:miRNA from 1 species